rnacentral:rRNA from 1 species
AUGGGAUGGAGGAGAAUGACAUUUUGGCUCUUGGCUUUCAUGGAGGCCAACUUUAAAAAAAAUCAAAAUUCAAAAAAUUCGGGUUCAAAAUAUUCUGAAAAAAGUGUACAAAUAAAGAAGGAUAUGAGGCGUGUGUGUAAAAUUUUAGGAUGGAAUACAUUGAAAUGCGAUCUAUACAAAAUAGACAAGUUACUAGUAUGUGAGGAUGAAUUGUAUUAUGUGUUAAAAAGUUCAGAUUUGUCUUUUUGCAAGGCCCUUUGUCUUUUUGCAAGGCCCUCAUCUCAUUUCAACGUAUCUCGUCCUGAAAAUUUACACACUUGCACUCUGCCUUUAUCUAUCUCUGUAUUUUUUUCAGAAAUUUUUAAAAUGUAA